UUCGAUUGGUGUACCUCUGAUUGGAGUAUAUAGGAAUGACGAGAGGUUAGCCAACACUAUCUUGAAUAUUCCCAACACACACUGCUUUCAGAUUAAUCAGUUAGACCUCGUCAUUACAAAAAGUACAAACAACAAAGCCUUCCGACUACUUUCACCAAAUUAUUUAAUUAACCUGAAAUAUGAGUUCGGCAGUUAAAUUGGUUCUUCUGUUUGUUUUGGCUCUAGUUUUACAAGUGGCUUUAACUUCACCAUCAUCAGAAAGAAGCAGAAAUGAAUAUGAAUUGGCAGCCAAAUCACAGGAAUUGUCACGUGAAUUGGAAUUAGCCAAUCGAUUGUUACAUCGGCUUAUGGACGUGGCUUACGAAACAGCAAAAGAUUUUGGUGCCAAGGAAGACGAUCUGAAAAACAUAAAACAGAAACGAAAUAUUAUUACGGCUUGUUAUUUCCAGGCCAUCACCUGUUAUUAGAAGAACUCAUUUUAAAAAGUGCUCAUCGUGAACUUUUUUUAUUUUAUUCUGUUUUACUUUUACCGGGAAUUGUACGAUAAUUGAGUUAUAAAAUAUUCGCUCACCAUAACCUUUUUUUUAAUUUUACGUUGUUUUACUUUAAUCUGAUUAAAACACAGAUCCUAUUUCGUUUCGUUUUUUAUAGUUCAAAAUUUCGUGUUUGCUUGUCUCCACAACACUAGGAUCUGGAAGAGUUGUUAUAUAACAGGUGUUCUAGUUGAUGUGAGGAAUUGGCCACAGAACUGUGAGUAAACCCCUAGAAACGUCAACGCUGAUUGAUUAAUCAAUGUCUGGCGUCAUAGGGUGAAAAGCCGCUCGUAUGACCCCUGACGCGACCUCCCAGUACAACUGGUCAUAUCUUCAUGUAGUGUAGGUCAUCGAAAGUAUUAAAAAAAAAACGAAACGAAAUAUAGAUCUCUAUUUUAAUCAGAUUUGUUUUACUUAUACUGAGAAGUGUACCACAUUUGAAUUUUGAAAUAUGUUAAAUUUCGUUCCAGAAGCAAGCGUGGGUUAAUCGGCUUAUACUUUUUAAGAAAGCAUUAUCCGUAUCCCGAACAUCGAAUUAUUGUCUUUAUAUAGUUAUAAUUCAGAAGCAAAAACAUAUCUAAAUUGCAAUAUUUCCUAUUAUACAAUAAAGCCAACAGGGAUUAUUUCCGCUAUUGUUUCAUGUUGCAGUGAUUCAACCAUAUAUUUGAUUUAAUGGCAGGAGUUUUACGGUCUAUAAAAUUAAAGGCCUUUUAUAUCAUUAAGCAUUGACAUGUUGUUUAGUGCUAAUAAAUCGAAUAUUGCUAUAAAUAUCACAGAAACAAUAUGUUUAUUUCUUCAAAUAUUGUAUUGAUUAUGCAUUUAUAAUAAAUAUGGGAAUCUAGAAA